rnacentral:rRNA from 1 species
CCCUAGAGGAGCCUGUUCCAUAAUCGAUAAACCCCGAUCCACCUCACCCUCUCUUGCUUAGCCUAUAUACCGCCAUCUUCAGCAAACCCUGAUAAAGGUUACAAAGUGAGCACAAACGCCCUACCGCCGCAAAAACGUUAGGUCAAGGUGUAGCCCAUGAGGGGGUAAAAAUGGGCUACAUUUUCUACAUCAGAAAACCCCACGAAAACUCUUAUGAAACCUGAGAGUCCAAGGAGGAUUUAGCAGUAAAUUAAGAAUAGAGUGCUUAAUUGAACCAGGCCAUAAAGCGCGUACACACCGCCCGUCACUCCCCUCAAAUAUAUUUAAGAGACAUCUUAACUAAACACCCCAAUAUUUAUAUAGAGGGGAUAAGUCGUAACAUGGUAAGUGUACUGGAAGGUGCACUUGGAU